CUCGCUUGUGACAUCAAGUAAUACCCUAAUUACUGACUCAACUACAUUUCAUCCCCCAAAUUAGUCAAAAGUGCCCAAAAUGAUGCCUCUAGGUCACUUUAUAUUUAGUAAGUUUCUUCCUCACAUU